CGAGCGAGCGGAACCACAGAUUUACUUCGGUAAUGACGUUGGGAAAGCGAGCGGCGGAUGGGUGAGUAACACGUGGGGAACCUGCCCCUAAGUCUGGGAUACCAUUUGGAAACAGGUGCUAAUACCGGAUAAUAAAGCAGAUCGCAUGAUCAGCUUUUGAAAGGCGGCGUAAGCUGUCGCUAAGGGAUGGCCCCGCGGUGCAUUAGCUAGUUGGUAAGGUAACGGCUUACCAAGGCGACGAUGCAUAGCCGAGUUGAGAGACUGAUCGGCCACAUUGGGACUGAGACACGGCCCAAACUCCUACGGGAGGCAGCAGUAGGGAAUCUUCCACAAUGGACGCAAGUCUGAUGGAGCAACGCCGCGUGAGUGAAGAAGGUUUUCGGAUCGUAAAGCUCUGUUGUUGGUGAAGAAGGAUAGAGGUAGUAACUGGCCUUUAUUUGACGGUAAUCAACCAGAAAGUCACGGCUAACUACGUGCCAGCAGCCGCGGUAAUACGUAGGUGGCAAGCGUUGUCCGGAUUUAUUGGGCGUAAAGCGAGCGCAGGCGGAAAAAUAAGUCUAAUGUGAAAGCCCUCGGCUUAACCGAGGAACUGCAUCGGAAACUGUUUUUCUUGAGUGCAGAAGAGGAGAGUGGAACUCCAUGUGUAGCGGUGGAAUGCGUAGAUAUAUGGAAGAACACCAGUGGCGAAGGCGGCUCUCUGGUCUGCAACUGACGCUGAGGCUCGAAAGCAUGGGUAGCGAACAGGAUUAGAUACCCUGGUAGUCCAUGCCGUANACGAUGAGUGCUAAGUGUUGGGAGGUUUCCGCCUCUCAGUGCUGCAGCUAACGCAUUA
rnacentral:rRNA from 1 species